CCUACGGGGGGCAGCAGUGAGGAAUAUUGGUCAAUGGGCGCGAGCCUGAACCAGCCAAGUCGCGUGAGGGAGGAAGGUACAGCGUAUCGUAAACCUCUUUUGUCAGGGAACAAAGGCGGGGACGUGUCCCCGGAUGAGUGUACCUGACGAAAAAGCAUCGGCUAACUCCGUGCCAGCAGCCGCGGUAAUACGGAGGAUGCGAGCGUUAUCCGGAUUUAUUGGGUUUAAAGGGUGCGCAGGCGGUCUGUUAAGUCAGCGGUCAAAGCCCGGGGCUCAACCCCGGCCCGCCGUUGAAACUGGCAGUCUCGAGUGGGAGAGAAGUAUGCGGAAUGCGCGGUGUAGCGGUGAAAUGCAUAGAUAUCGCGCAGAACUCCGAUUGCGAAGGCAGCAUGCCGGCUCCACACUGACGCUGAGGCACGAAAGCGUGGGUAUCGAACAGGAUUAGAUACCCGAGUAGUC
rnacentral:rRNA from 1 species